rnacentral:rRNA from 1 species
AGCAGCCGCGGUAAUUCCAGCUCCAAUAGCGUAUAUUAAAGUUGUUGCAGUUAAAAAGCUCGUAGUUGAAUUUCGGGGUUAGUAGGUUGGUCAUGCCUCUGGUAUGUACUGGUCUCACUGAUUCCUCCUUCCUGAUGAGCCGUAAUGCCAUUAAUUUGGUGUUGCGGGGAAUUUGGACUGUUACUUUGAAAAAAUUUAGAGUGUUUAAAGCAAGCUAACGCUUGAAUACAUUAGCAUGGAAUAAUGAAAUAGGACGUUCGAUCCUAUUUUGUUAGUUUCUAGGAUUGACGUAAUGAUUAAUAGGGAUAGUUGGGGGCGAUUAGUAUUCAAUUGUCAGAGGUGAAAUUCUUGGAUUUAUUGAAGACUAACUACUGCGAAAGCAUUUGCCAGGAUGUUUUCAUUAAUCAAGAACGAAAGUUAGGGGAUCGAAGACGAUCAGAUACCGUCGUAGUCUUAACCAUAAACUAUGCCGACUAGGGAUCGGAUGAUGUUAAUUUUUUAAUGACUCACUCGGCGCCUU